CAGAGUUUACACGGGACCGACUGAAAUUGAGGAUGAAAAUGCACUGAAGAAACAGACGGAUGAGCACCUGGCUCUUGCUGUACUAAACCGCUGGGAAGAUAUUCCACAGAUCGGCUGUAAACUCGUCCCAGAGCACGUGGAGACGAGGCCUCUCCUGAAUCCGGAUAAACCUGGGAUGGAGCAGGGGAGGGUUGAGAUGUGGGUGGACAUGUUCCCGAAGGAUAUGCCUGCGC